CAAGGGCAGCAUGUUUCUCUUCUGUCUAGUUUUGCAGAGGUUAAUUGUAAAAAGAAUCUGGUUGAUGGUUUUUAGAGCUCCAAUUGGCUAGACUCCAUGGCUCUGGGCAAGGGAAGGAAAUCUGCAGUAGAGAAUAAGGGUGUGACACCUUUCAUGGGGAUGGAGGAGUUUAUUGGAGGGGCUUGAUGUGAUUAGAUCUGCGAUAAGGUGGAAUAUAGUUGGUCCUUUGUUUCUACUUAAUUGGGAGGAACCUUGGGUUCCAACUCUUCCUGGAUUCACAAUUACGUCCAAGACAAGCAAACUGUCCAACUCUGUAUAUAGCCGAUUUAAUCAUUCCAAGCAUAAACCAAUAGGACCUACCGAUGUUAUAUGCUGCUUUCACUCCGAAGGAAUGUCGAGAAAUCAUUAGAAUUCCUAUUGGUUCACAUCCCAGGGAAGCUAUUAGAGUGUGGCACUUCUCAAGAUCGGGUACUCCUACUAUUAAAGCUAUUUAUCACAGGCUGAAAUAGUUGCAAGCUGUUCCGUAACAAGCAGUAGUCCCAUCUUCAUCCAGAUUAGUGCCCAUAAAUUUCUGGAAGAAAAUAUGGAAAUUGGAGGUUCCUCCUAAGUUGCAUAUGUUUAUAUGGUGGGCUUGUAAAAAUACUUUGGCUAUAAAAGAAAAUUUGUUUAAGAGGAAAUGUGCCUUCCCCUGACUGCCCUCUUUGUCUUCAAGGACCAUAGACU
rnacentral:misc_RNA from 1 species